AUAGGUGUGUUGGGAGUGAAAAGCAAACACCCGUUAGCUGGGUACGAGAGCGCAAAGCCAGGGUCUGUACUCAGCCACCUCUGCUCAAUGUCUGGAUUUAGGAGGCAAAAGGUUCUCUGCACUGGAAGGGAGACACUGGUGAUGUAUGCUGCUAAAUUAAGCGACAUUCCAAACAGUUUGCUUUGAAACCCAGCAACAAGGCCAAAAGCCUCCAUCUCGCCUGUUUUAUCUGAAGGGAAUAGCAAAAGGAAAACGUUCCCGUCGUGUUCCCAAGGCUAAUGAGCAAAGAGGUGCUGGAGCCAAACAACGAGAAUCGCAGCUCAAAACACCAAAAGUCCUAAAUUAGAGUGAACAAAGGAAGAGGAGGGUGGGCUGCAGUCUUGCUGAAACAUCAGGCAAACAGACAGCAAGCAGCCUGCUUGUGUGAGCUGCAGUGUCACCGUUCAUCAUCGCUUCUACCCAGACUGGAACAGAGCAAAAGAAAUGCUCAAGUCCUCCAAGUGUUCUUCCAAUGUGAACUGCUUGUGUUUUGAGGUCAGUUACUUGCACAGCCCACAUCAGGCUUGCAGUGCCGCAUUUCACAUCUGUGCACUGGGAUGCUCAGGUACCAAAAUGGAAGCGCUGCAGAGCAAAUUGCUGCCUCCCUCUUUCUCAGCCCGUCCUGUUUGUUAGAAUUAAGCAGCCCCGUGCUGUGCUGGUGCGCAGGGAAGGGCCACGGGGGCUGCAGAGCUCCUGGCAGCAAGGCUGGCUCCUGGCUGAGCUCUGUAGCCGCCCCCAUUUUCAGGGUAAACACGCUGCUAUGUGUCUCCAACAGACCAUCACUUUUCAUUUUCCAUGCCCAGGGGUCAGAUGCACAGACAUGGAGCAGAGCGAGGCAGGCAGUGCUCCAAACAUCAGUGUUUGAAGGGUUUCCCCUGAAAAAACACCCUCUGGGAGCUCAGGAGCGUGUCCUGCUGCCCCAUCCUGGUGCAGGCAGCCUCACAAUCUGCCUGUAACCGGUAGGAGGACGGAGGGGUUGGAGAUUCUGGGCUCAAUUCCGGCAGUGCCACCGUCACAUUCCUGCAGCCCUGCGUGACGCACGUCGUGCACGAGCCACGGUGCGCCAGCCGGAGAGCGGGACUAAAAAUAAAACCGUGGCGUUGCUGCUGUGCUAGGCUCCUGCUGGGAUGUCUUGGUUUGUGUUAUAACAUCUUCAAGGCAAGUUGAAAACAGGGAAAAAAGAAAAAAAAGAAAAAAAAGAAAGGGGGAAAAAAAAAAGAGCCUUUUUGCUUUUGAGCUGAAUCGAGAGGCAGCUGGUAGAAAUCAGUGUCGUUUCAUUCACUGGCUGCACGGCACUAAGUUCCUUUGGUACUGAUGCACACACACGCUCUACGGCAUGCUUAAUUAAAUAGAGAGUAUUACGUUUGUGCUACUAUUUAUUUCCUGACUUCUCGUAUAGAAACCAGUGUAAUUUAUGCUAAUUAAUUGAUUGAGCAAAUUAAUUCAGCACUUCUCCACGUAAGAGGAAAGGACCGUGAUGCAGCUCAGACUGAGAGAGCAGCCCAGUGCUGGCACCCCGAGCGAAGUACGGGAGGGCGCAGUGCCUAAGGU